AGAAAUAUAAUUAAUUAAGCUGCUAACUUAAUUUAUAGUGAUUAAUUUCAUUAAUAUUUCUU
rnacentral:tRNA from 1 species